rnacentral:rRNA from 1 species
AAUGGCCGGUACAAAGGGCAGCUACUUCGCGAGAAGAUGCUAAAUCUCGAAAAGCCGGUACUCAGUUCGGAUCGAAGUCUGCAACCCGACUUCGUGAAGCUGGAUUCGCUAGUAAUCGCGCAUCAGCCAUGGCGCGGUGAAUACGUUCCCGGGCCUU